UACGUAGGCAGCAAGCGUUGUUCGGAAUCACUGGGCGUAAAGGGUGCGUAGGCGGUUGCGCAAGUCUGGAGUGAAAGGCCGCGGCUCAACCGCGGUGGGGCUCUGGAAACUGCGCGACUUGAGUGCUGGAGAGGCAAGGGGAAUUCCGCGUGUAGCGGUGAAAUGCGUAGAUAUGCGGAGGAAUACCGGUGGCGAAGGCGCCUUGCUGGACAGCGACUGACGCUGAGGCACGAAAGCGUGGGGAGCAAACAGG
rnacentral:rRNA from 1 species